GACAAACGCUGGCGGCGUGCUUAACACAUGCAAGUCGAACGGAAAGGCCCUGCUUUUGUGGGGUGCUCGAGUGGCGAACGGGUGAGUAACACGUGAGUAACCUGCCCUUGACCUUGGGAUAACUUCAGGAAACUGGGGCUAAUACCGGAUAGGAGCUCCUGCUGCAUGGUGGGGGUUGGAAAGUCUCGGCGGUUGGGGAUGGACUCGCGGCUUAUCAGCUUGUUGGUGGGGUAGUGGCUUACCAAGGCUUUGACGGGUAGCCGGCCUGAGAGGGUGACCGGCCACAUUGGGACUGAGAUACGGCCCAGACUCCUACGGGAGGCAGCAGUGGGGAAUAUUGCACAAUGGGCGGAAGCCUGAUGCAGCAACGCCGCGUGCGGGAUGACGGCCUUCGGGUUGUAAACCGCUUUCGCCUGUGACGAAGCGUGAGUGACGGUAAUGGGUAAAGAAGCACCGGCUAACUACGUG
rnacentral:rRNA from 1 species